rnacentral:rRNA from 1 species
AGCUCCAAUAGCGUAUACUAAAGUUGUUGCGGUUAAAAAGCUCGUAGUUGGAUCUUGGAAUGUGUUCAAGCGGGUCAGCUUCUGGCUGUUCGCUGCUUGACGUGUUCUUCUAUUUGGUUUUGGUGCGGUGCGCUUAACUGCGUGUCGCUCCCGGCCGAAACGUUUACCUUGAAAAAAUUAGAGUGUUCAAAGCAGACCUGUUUGAGUCUGAAUAUUCGUGCAUGGAAUAAUGAAAUAUGAAUUCGGUUCUAUUUUGUUGGUUUUCGGAACUCGAGUUAAUGAUCAAGAGGGACAGACGGGGGCAUUCGUACUCUGCCGUUAGAGGUGAAAUUCUUGGAUCGGCGGAAGACGCGCAACUGCGAAAGCAUUUGCCAAAAUGUUUUCU